rnacentral:misc_RNA from 1 species
UACGUAGGGUGCGAGCGUUGUCCGGAAUUAUUGGGCGUAAAGCGCGCGCAGGCGGUCCCUUAAGUCUGAUGUGAAAGACCACGGCUCAACCGUGGAGGGUCAUUGGACACUGUGGGACUUGAGUACCGAAGAGGAAAGUGGAAUUCCAUGUGUAGCGGUGAAAUGCGUAGAGAUGUGGAGGAACACCAGUGGCGAAGGCGACUUUCUGGUCUGUAACUGACGCUGAGGCGCGAAAGCGUGGGGAGCAAACAGG